rnacentral:rRNA from 1 species
GAGGAGCUUGCUCUUCUUGGAUGAGUUGCGAACGGGUGAGUAACGCGUAGGUAACCUGCCUUGUAGCGGGGGAUAACUAUUGGAAACGAUAGCUAAUACCGCAUAACAAUGGAUGACACAUGUCAUUUAUUUGAAAGGGGCAAUUGCUCCACUACAAGAUGGACCUGCGUUGUAUUAGCUAGUAGGUGAGGUAAUGGCUCACCUAGGCGACGAUACAUAGCCGACCUGAGAGGGUGAUCGGCCACACUGGGACUGAGACACGGCCCAGACUCCUACGGGAGGCAGCAGUAGGGAAUCUUCGGCAAUGGGGGCAACCCUGACCGAGCAACGCCGCGUGAGUGAAGAAGGUUUUCGGAUCGUAAAGCUCUGUUGUAAGUCAAGAACGGGUGUGAGAGUGGAAAGUUCACACUGUGACGGUAGCUUACCAGAAAGGGACGGCUAACUACGUGCCAGCAGCCGCGGUAAUACGUAGGUCCCGAGCGUUGUCCGGAUUUAUUGGGCGUAAAGCGAGCGCAGGCGGUUUGAUAAGUCUGAAGUUAAAGGCUGUGGCUCAACCAUAGUUCGCUUUGGAAACUGUCAAACUUGAGUGCAGAAGGGGAGAGUGGAAUUCCAUGUGUAGCGGUGAAAUGCGUAGAUAUAUGGAGGAACACCGGUGGCGAAAGCGGCUCUCUGGUCUGUAACUGACGCUGAGGCUCGAAAGCGUGGGGAGCGAACAGGAUUAGAUACCCUGGUAGUCCACGCCGUAAACGAUGAGUGCUAGGUGUUGGAUCCUUUCCGGGAUUCAGUGCCGCAGCUAACGCAUUAAGCACUCCGCCUGGGGAGUACGACCGCAAGGUUGAAACUCAAAGGAAUUGACGGGGGCCCGCACAAGCGGUGGAGCAUGUGGUUUAAUUCGAAGCAACGCGAAGAACCUUACCAGGUCUUGACAUCCCGAUGCUAUUUCUAGAGAUAGAAAGUUACUUCGGUACAUCGGUGACAGGUGGUGCAUGGUUGUCGUCAGCUCGUGUCGUGAGAUGUUGGGUUAAGUCCCGCAACGAGCGCAACCCCUAUUGUUAGUUGCCAUCAUUCAGUUGGGCACUCUAGCGAGACUGCCGGUAAUAAACCGGAGGAAGGUGGGGAUGACGUCAAAUCAUCAUGCCCCUUAUGACCUGGGCUACACACGUGCUACAAUGGUUGGUACAACGAGUUGCGAGUCGGUGACGGCGAGCUAAUCUCUUAAAGCCAAUCUCAGUUCGGAUUGUAGGCUGCAACUCGCCUACAUGAAGUCGGAAUCGCUAGUAAUCGCGGAUCAGCACGCCGCGGUGAAUACGUUCCCGGGCCUUGUACACACCGCCCGUCACACCACGAGAGUUUGUAACACCCGAAGUCGGUGA